AUUGAACGCUGGCGGCAGGCCUAACGCAUGCAAGUCGAGCGGAUGAAGGGAGCUUGCUCCUGGAUUCAGCGGCGGACGGGUGAGUAAUGCCUAGGAAUCUGCCUGGUAGUGGGGGAUAACGUCCGGAAACGGGCGCUAAUACCGCAUACGUCCUGAGGGAGAAAGUGGGGGAUCUUCGGACCUCACGCUAUCAGAUGAGCCUAGGUCGGAUUAGCUAGUUGGUGGGGUAAAGGCCUACCAAGGCGACGAUCCGUAACUGGUCUGAGAGGAUGAUCAGUCACACUGGAACUGAGACACGGUCCAGACUCCUACGGGAGGCAGAAGUGGGGAAUAUUGGACAAUGGGCGAAAGCCUGAUCCAGCCAUGCCGCGUGUGUGAAGAAGGUCUUCGGAUUGUAAAGCACUUUAAGUUGGGAGGAAGGGCAGUAAGUUAAUACCUUGCUGUUUUGACGUUACCAACAGAAUAAGCACCGGCUAACUUCGUG
rnacentral:rRNA from 1 species